rnacentral:rRNA from 1 species
AUUGAACGCUGGCGGCAGGCUUAACACAUGCAAGUCGAGCGGUAGCACAGGGGAGCUUGCUCCCUGGGUGACGAGCGGCGGACGGGUGAGUAAUGUCUGGGAAACUGCCUGAUGGAGGGGGAUAACUACUGGAAACGGUAGCUAAUACCGCAUAACGUCGCAAGACCAAAGAGGGGGACCUUCGGGCCUCUUGCCAUCAGAUGUGCCCAGAUGGGAUUAGCUAGUAGGUGGGGUAAUGGCUCACCUAGGCGACGAUCCCUAGCUGGUCUGAGAGGAUGACCAGCCACACUGGAACUGAGACACGGUCCAGACUCCUACGGGAGGCAGCAGUGGGGAAUAUUGCACAAUGGGCGCAAGCCUGAUGCAGCCAUGCCGCGUGUGUGAAGAAGGCCUUCGGGUUGUAAAGCACUUUCAGCGAGGAGGAAGGUGGCGAACUUAAUACGUUCAUCAAUUGACGUUACUCGCAGAAGAAGCACCGGCUAACUCCGUGCCAGCAGCCGCGGUAAUACGGAGGGUGCAAGCGUUAAUCGGAAUUACUGGGCGUAAAGCGCACGCAGGCGGUUUGUUAAGUCAGAUGUGAAAUCCCCGGGCUCAACCUGGGAACUGCAUUUGAAACUGGCAAGCUAGAGUCUCGUAGAGGGGGGUAGAAUUCCAGGUGUAGCGGCGAAAUGCGUAGAGAUCUGGAGGAAUACCGGUGGCGAAGGCGGCCCCCUGGACGAAGACUGACGCUCAGGUGCGAAAGCGUGGGGAGCAAACAGGACUAGAUACCCUGGUAGUCCACGCUGUAAACGAUGUCGAUUUGGAGGUUGUGCCCUUGAGGCGUGGCUUCCGGAGCUAACGCGUUAAAUCGACCGCCUGGGGAGUACGGCCGCAAGGUUAAAACUCAAAUGAAUUGACGGGGGCCCGCACAAGCGGUGGAGCAUGUGGUUUAAUUCGAUGCAACGCGAAGAACCUUACCUACUCUUGACAUCCAGAGAACUUUCCAGAGAUGGAUUGGUGCCUUCGGGAACUCUGAGACAGGUGCUGCAUGGCUGUCGUCAGCUCGUGUUGUGAAAUGUUGGGUUAAGUCCCGCAACGAGCGCAACCCUUAUCCUUUGUUGCCAGCGGUUCGGCCGGGAACUCAAAGGAGACUGCCAGUGAUAAACUGGAGGAAGGUGGGGAUGACGUCAAGUCAUCAUGGCCCUUACGAGUAGGGCUGCACACGUGCUACAAUGGCAUAUACAAAGAGAAGCGACCUCGCGAGAGCAAGCGGACCUCAUAAAGUAUGUCGUAGUCCGGAUUGGAGUCUGCAACUCGACUCCAUGAAGUCGGAAUCGCUAGUAAUCGUAGAUCAGAAUGCUACGGUGAAUACGUUCCCGGGCCU